AAGGUGUUGGUUGAUAUAGACAGAAGGACGGUGGCCAUGGAAGUUGGAACCCGCUAAGGAGUGUGUAACAACUCACCUUCCGAAUCAACUAGCCCUGAAAAUGGAUGGCGCUUAAGUGUAUUACUUAUACUUAACCUUUAAAUGAAUAAUGAAAUGUUUAACAUUUAAAGAGUAGGAGGGCGUGGAGUUUAUUUAGAAGUCUUUGAGUGUAAACUUGGAUGAAAUAAACUCUAGUGCAGAUCUUGGUUGUAGUAGCAAAUAUUCAAGUGAGAUCCUUAAAGACCGAAGUAGAGAAAGGUUCCGUAUGAACAGUAUCUGGAUACGGGUUAGUCGAUCCUAAGAGAUAAGGAAAUUCUGUAUUAAAGUGGUUAAUUUAUUUAACCCCUUAUCGAAAGGGAAACAGGUUAAUAUUCCUGUACUAAGAUGAGGAUAUUUUUAUGGCAACAUAAAUGAACUUCGAUACAUCAGCAAAAGCCCUAGAAAGAGUUCUCUUUUCUUUUUAAUAGCCUUUUCAUUUGAAAAAAUGAUAUAACCCUGGAAUUAGAUUAUCUAGAGAAAGGGUUAGAAGACUAAUAAAGCAUCUUAAUUUUUUAAGAUGUCUGGUGCGCUUUUGAGGAUCCUUGAAAAUUGAAGGGAAAGAAUUAUUUUCUCACUUAGUCGUACUCAUCACCGCAGCAGGUCUCUAAGGUGAAAAGCCUCUGGUCUAUAGAAUAAUGCAGGUAAGGGAAGUCGGCAAAAUAGACCUGUAACUUCGGGAAAAAGAUUGGCUCUUAGGGUUGAGUUAGAAAGCUUUUAGAAGGAAUUAUAAUGACGGUUUUAGAGCUACGGUCGAUUGUUCGAUUAGAGCAAUCGAAAGAAUGGUUGACUGUGGAGCUUUAAUUGUUGUUGUAAGGAUGUUUAGAAGACACUUUUUUAUUUUGUUUCUUUUUUGAGGAGGUAUAGCAAUAUAUUUUUUUAAAAGGGAGAGGAGUAAAAAACUCUUUCUAACACUUAACGACUAACUAAGAACUGAUACGGUCAAGGGGAAUCCGACCGUUUAAUUAAAACAAAGCAUUGUGAUGGCCUGAAAAGGUGUUUACACAAUGUGAUUUCUGCCCAGUGCUCUGAAUGUCAAAGUGAAGAAAUUCGACCAAGCGCGGGUAAACGGCGGGAGUAACUAUGACUCUCUUAAGGUAGCCAAAUGCCUCGUCAUCUAAUUAGUGACGCGCAUGAAUGGAUUAACGAGAUUCCCACUGUCCCUAUCUGCUAUCUAGCGAAACAACAGCCAAGGGAACGGGCUUGGCAGAAUCAGCGGGGAAAGAAGACCCUGUUGAGCUUGACUCUAGUCUGGGAUUGUGAAAUGUCUCCAAAAGUGUAGCAUAAGUGGGAGCUUUACGGCGAUCUUGAAAUACCACUAUUUUGGACGAUAUUUUACUCAUUUAAUUGUAUAGAAG
rnacentral:rRNA from 1 species